AGUGAUACAGAAAAAGUUAUGUUGCCCUUGUUCCCUGGAACUUCAUUUCCCCUGUCCCUGUGGUCAGUCAUUGCUACCCUAGAAGUCAUCGAUAUGUAAAUUGAUUUUAAAAUUAAAGCAAUGCUUAGUCUAAGUCUAAGUGUAUUUCAGCAUGGCCUAACUUGGCGCAAUACAGUGUGUGCGUGCGUGUGUGUGUGUGUAUUUGCUGCCCGGCAUCUGUGUUUAGCCAUGUCUAAUGUGGGGUAUUAACAAUAUUGAAUUGUGAGAGGAAACUGAUUUUGUUUGUUCUUGCUAAUGAAGGAAUUUGUGCUAUUCCUUUUCUAGGUACAGCAUUUCCUACAUACCAUUUGCAAGGGAUGCUGUGAAAAAAUGUUUUGCUGCAUGCCUCACAUAACAGGCUAAGUUGGCUAUCUUCUUACACUGAGGACUACAACACCUGCACAACCAAAUGAUUCUUGAAACAGCACACAGCUGCCUAAGAACAAAGCAUUAACGUGUUAGGUUAACAUGUGACUCAGAAGACAAAGCUACCAUAUAUUCUCCUGAAGAUAACACAUUUUAUGAAACUUUCAAGAUAAAUUAUGUCUCGUCUUCACUUGCAAAACUAAUACUUAAUGUAUGCCACAAAAAAAAAUCUUUUUUUCAGAUGAUUUUAUUUUGGAAGUAAAAUUGAUAUUCUAGUAGGGAUGGGAUUUCUAUUAACAGGUUUCUAUCAAAAAGUCCAUAGGACAGAUUAUAUUUUUGGAAAAUAUUUGCUAAGCAUGUAGUAAAUUCUUUCAUUCUUUUAGUUACUUGCUACCAAAAGACCAUUUCUAAAUGUCUCUUUUUCCAUUCUAAAAAUCAUGAUUGCAAAUUGUAUGAGGAAAGUUCCUGGAAUUAAUUUGUUGUCUUAACAGGAUACCAAUUAUAAUUCCUUUCUUUAAAUUACAUGAUUUAGUGUCUGAUAAGCAAGAGAAUCAGUAACUGGAGAAAAGUAGGAAUCAUAAAAUUAGAUAAGAUGAUUUCUCCAAGCAUUUCUAUUUAUGGACUUCUACUCAUGUGGCCUUGGAAUGAAAUAAAAUCUAGACUUCUGCCUUUAUUGGUAACUUAUAUUCUAAAAAAAUUUCUCCUCUUAUUGAUGCCACUGCAGUGCCUCUCUCAUUUUUAUUUUCAUGUUGGUCAGAUAUGGCUUGAAUAACUCAAAAGUGUACCAUAAUCUAACUGGGGAGACAAACAUUUAAGAUUUUGAGUAUCUUCUUUUCUCAUCCUAUCUUUUCUUUCAAUAUGUUUCCUUGUAUAAUCACUGUGUAUAAUCUUAUUAUGUUUCAUGCUUUGAUUUCCCAAGAGGAUAGUAUCCUGGGAUUAUUUAAAUUUACGGAUUCUAGCAUAUUGGCAUUUUUUGUUGCAUUCCUUUUUUGCACUGGCAUCUUCCCUGCUUAUUUUUCAUAAGAAGUAAAAUUAGUGUGUGUACAUGUUAAGAAUUAUUUGAGAGUUUUUGCAGUUGGUUAUCUUGAUAUUGUGCUAUGCUUAUUUUAAAAAAAUCCAAUAAUUUUGCCUUUGGUGGAAUUCAUGAACUGUAAGCACCUAUUGCUAAAAGAAAAUAUAUUUACUAUCUAUGUUCAUUAUGCUGCCUGUUCUGCUCUCUUUUGCCUUUUGAAAGAGACUAAUACAGGAUAUCAGAGCACAGAAAUUUUCCAGUGAGAAGUAGCCAAAUUAACUCUUAUUUUUUACACAAUGGAACCAAUGUUUGUAUCUAACUAGUUUAGUAUAGCUUCUUCGAUAAAUAUUGUUGGUUGUUUUACUCCAGAGAUCUUGGAAAGUUAAUUGUAUUGCACUGCUUACCAAACAAACAUAUUUAUAGAUUUGUAAACUUGACAUUUGUGAAAUAAUUCACUUUUAUUAUAACUCUCAUUAUGAAUGAAGCACAGAAUUGUAUACACUGAUUUUAAAUGAAUACAGGUCAGAGAACUCUAAGUAAUGUAUUAAAAUUAGGUCUGCAAGACCUUGGUUUUAAGAAAUGAACAGAUAUGAUUUUUUCCUACAUCUGCUUUUUGAGGGAGCAUUUAAAAUUAUCACUGCUUAAAAUAUAAAACUGCCCAGAUUGUAAAUUUUGAAUAUAUUCUAUAGAUAUUUAAGUAUAUAUAUAUUUAAUAGGUUUUUAUAGUGAAGCAAUGUGUAGUGCUUAAUGAUAGUGGUAAUUGCAGACUCUCUCUUAUAGUAGACAGUUGUGACACAAGGAGGCUCCUGAAAUACAAAAGUCAAAAUUUUAAACUUGAUGGAGUCUCUUUCUGAUGCAUUUCUGAAGCAUUGAAAAAGACAGUGGGGACAACAUUCUAAAAGAUACAAAUCUCUUACUUGUUUCAGGCAUAAAUUGUGACGAAAAAUUUAAAUAUAAGCAUCAUACAUUCUGUCUUAGUUUUAAGGUCACUUGAAUAUAAAGUGGUGAGAAAUUAUUGUAUAAACUUAAAGGAUUUGGUGAAGCUUCCUUGAUUCCCCCCUUGUGCUCCCCCCUCCGAUUUCCUAACUAUGUGACUUCUUUCUUUUGAAUACCAGCUGAGAUAAUCUUACAAUUUUCCUUGUUGAUGUCUUCAGAGAAUUGAGUUUAAGGUAACAUGCAUUGCUGCUACUGAUGUGCAAUCCAUCUUACGUCUAUUUCUGUUAGAGUAACAGAAGGGUAAUCAUAUAAAUGCUGGAAGAUGCAGACAUCCACAUUAAGAAAUUUAUAACUCUAUGCCAACUACUGAAUUGAAUCCCACUGAGUCAUACAGCUCUCAGUUCCAGCCUUUACAUCUUGCUGCUUCAUGUUAGCCUUUUCCAACUUGAUGGUCUCCAAGUUGAAACAAAAUUUCCUAAGUUCUUAAUCAGCAUAAAGUCCUCAUGGAGUUGUCAAAUUGGGAAACAGUGCUUAAGAAAUGUAGCAAAUGAGAAACCCAGCUUUUUAAAUCUUGGAAGAAAUAACCUUUUGUUACAAUAUGUCUGUCUGAAGUAGGAGGCUUAUUUUGGGGAGAGACUAAAAUAAUUCUCACAAAUUCCAGUUGCAAUUAUCUCCUUGCUUACAGAAUGUGAACCCUGCUAGGCCAAUAGUAAGAUCUUGCAUUUUAGACAAACAAAUGUUCUAUCUUGUCUGACUCUUAAAUUAUUACAGUACAUAUCCAACACUAAUUGAGUAACUUCCAAGUUUUGAUCUUGUUGAAUUCUUGUUAGGGAUAUUUUUUAUGUUUAAUAAAUGAGCCGAGGUGGCGCAGUGGUUAGGGUGCAGUACUGCAGGCCACUUUAGC